rnacentral:rRNA from 1 species
GAUGAACGCUGGCGGCGUGCCUAAUACAUGCGAGUCGAGCGAACAGACGAGGAGCUUGCUCCUCUGACGUUAGCGGCGGACGGGUGAGUAACACGUGGAUAACCUACCUAUAAGACUGGGAUAACUUCGGGAAACCGGAGCUAAUACCGGAUAAUAUAUUGAACCGCAUGGUUCAAUAGUGAAAGACGGUUUUGCUGUCACUUAUAGAUGGAUCCGCGCCGCAUUAGCUAGUUGGUAAGGUAACGGCUUACGAAGGCAACGAUGCGUAGCCGACCUGAGAGGGUGAUCGGCCACACUGGAACUGAGACACGGUCCAGACUCCUACGGGAGGCAGCAGUAGGGAAUCUUCCGCAAUGGGCGAAAGCCUGACGGAGCAACGCCGCGUGAGUGAUGAAGGUCUUCGGAUCGUAAAACUCUGUUAUUAGGGAAGAACAAAUGUGUAAGUAACUAUGCACGUCUUGACGGUACCUAAUCAGAAAGCCACGGCUAACUACGUG